GUGGGGAAUAUUGGGCAAUGGGGGAAACCCUGACCCAGCAACGCCGCGUGAAGGAAGAAGGUCUUCGGAUUGUAAACUUUUGUCCCGCGGGAAGAAAAAAAUGACGGUACCGCGGGAGGAAGCCCCGGCUAACUACGUGCCAGCAGCCGCGGUAAUACGUAGGGGGCGAGCGUUGUCCGGAAUUACUGGGCGUAAAGGGUGCGCAGGCGGUUUUUUAAGUCAGGUGUGAAAUACCCGGGCUCAACCCGGGGGGUGCAUUUGAAACUGGGAGACUUGAGUGCAGGAGAGGGGAGCGGAAUUCCUAGUGUAGCGGUGAAAUGCGUAGAUAUUAGGAGGAACACCAGUGGCGAAGGCGGCUCUCUGGACUGCAACUGACGCUGAGGCACGAAAGCGUGGGGAGCAAACAGGAUUAGAAACCCCAGUAGUCC
rnacentral:rRNA from 1 species